GGAGGUGGGAGAUCUUCAAAGGGAUUCAUGAGGCCUGUUCCUGUGAGAGGGGUCCAUUCACUCCACCCCCGCCCCUUUGGGGGACCUGUUUCUUUGCCUUGGCUCAGAACUGGGAGGUGCAGAUGGGGCCUCAGACUCUACAGACAGCCCAGCCUCCUGCCAGAAGAAAUCUGCGGGAUGUUUUUCCGGCGCCAUUACCCACUCACCACCCUCCGCUUCUGUGGUAUGGACCCUGAGCAACGGAAGUGGCAGAAGUACUGCAAACCCUCCUGGAUCUUUGGGUUUGUGGCCAAGAGCCAGACAGAGCCUCAGGAGAACGUGUGCCACCUCUUUGCGGAGUAUGACACGGUCCAGCCAGCCUCGCAGGUCAUCAGCCUGGUGACUGCUCUGCUGCAGGACGCAGAAAGGAUGUAGGGGAGAGACUGCCUGUGCACCUAACCAACACCUCCAGGGGCUCGCCAAGGAGCCCCCCUCCACCCCCUGAAUGGGUGUGGCUUGUGGCCAUAUUGACAGACCAAUCUAUGAGACUAGGGGGAUUGGCAUCAAGCUGACACCCUUGAACCUGCUAUGGCCUUCAGCAGUCACCAUCAUCCAGAGCCCCCGGGCCUCAGUUUGCUCAACCAUAGAAGGAGACCAAUAGACAAGAUCAGCUGUUCUCAGAUGCUGGUGGGCAUUUGAACAUGCUCCUCCAUGAUUCUGAAGCAUGCACACCUCUGAAGACCCCUGCAUGAAAAUAACUUCCAAGGACCCUCUGACCCCAUCGACCUGGGCUCUGCUGACACAACAGUCUGAGCGAGAGACCUGCAGCCCCUGCUUCAUGGCAGACAGCAGGUGCCUGGCGGUGACCCACGGGGCUCCUGGCUUGCAGCUGGUGAUGGUCAAGAAUUGACUACAAAACGGGAAUGGAUAGACUCUAUUUCCUUCCAUAUCUGUUCCUCUGUUCCUUUUCCCACUUUCUGGGUGGCUUUUUGGGUCCACCCAGCCAGGAUGCUGCAGGCCAAGCUGGGUGUGGCAUUUAGGGCAGCUCAGCAGGGGGAACUUGUCCCCAUGGUCAGAGGAGACCCAGCUGUCCUGCACCCCUCUGCAGAUGAGUAUCACCCCAUCUUUUCUUCCCACUUCUUUUUUAUUUUUUAUUUUUUUGAGAUGGAGUCUCACUGUCACCCAGGCUGAACUGCAGUGGUGUGAUCUAGGCUCACUGCAACCUCCACCUCCCAGGUUCAAGCAAUUAUCCUGCCUCAGGCUCCCGAGUAGCUGGGAUUACAGGCAUGUGCCACUCACCCAGCUAAUUUUGUAUUUUUAGUAGUGACAGGGUUUCACCAUAUUGGCCAGGCUGGUCUUGAACUCCUGACCUCAGGUAAUCCACCUGCUUCAGCCUCCCAAAGUGCUGGGAUUACAGGCGCAAGCCACCGGGCCCAGCUUCUUUCCAUUCCUUGAUAGGUGAGUAUUCCAAAGCUGGUAUCGUAGCUGCCCUAAUGUUGCAUAUUAGGCGGUGGGGGCAGAGAUAAGGGCCAUCCCUCUGUGAUUCUGCCUCAGCUCUUGUCUUGCUGAGCCCUCCCCCAACCCACGCUCCAACACACACACACACACACACACACACACACACACACACACACACACACACACACACACACACACCACACACACACACACACACACACACACACACACACACACACACACACACACACGCCCCUCUACUGCUAUGUGGCUUCAACCAGCCUCACAGCCACACGGGGGCAGCAGAGAGUCAAGAAUGCAAAGAGGCCGCUUCCCUAAGAGGCUUGGAGGAGCUGGGCUCUAUCCCACCCCCACCCCCACCCCCACCCAGCCUCCAGAAGCUGGAAUCUUUUCUCCCGCAGGCCUGAGUUCCUAAGGAAACCACACUACCGGGGUGGAAGGGAGGGUCAGGGAAGAAACCCACUCUUGCUCUACGAGGAGCAAGUGCCUGCCCCCUCCCAGCAGCCAGCCCUGCCAAAGUUGCAUUAUCUUUGGCCAAGGCUGGGCCUGAUGGUUAUGAUUUCAGCCCUGGGCCUGCGGGAGAGGCUGAGACCAGCCCUCCCAGCCGGUGGUCGAGCACUGCCCCGCCGCCAAAGUCUGCAGAAUGUGAGAUGAGGUUCUCAAGGUCACAGGCCCCAGUCCCAGCCUGGGGGCUGGCAGAGGCCCCCAUAUACUCCGCUACAGCUCCUAUCAUGAAAAAUAAAAUGUUUGUCUUUGCGAAACAGUCA
rnacentral:sRNA from 1 species